UACCAGAGGAAAGCAUGCCAUCCCAACAGCAAGUCAUGUCCUUCUAAAGUCCAUAAUCUACUGUUCCUUAAUGUUAUCCAUUUCUUUACCCACAUCAGAUUUGUCACCUGAUAAUACAAUUCCCAGUUGGGCAAAGCAAACCCUCCUUUUAUUCUUGCAUCUUGUAACAGUUUAAGUUUUAUUCUCACUUUCUUACCCUGGCAUAUAUAUUUUAAAAAAAU